rnacentral:rRNA from 1 species
GAUGAACGCUGGCGGCGUGCCUGAUACAUGCAAGUCGAGCGAACGGACGAGAAGCUUGCUUCUCUGAUGUUAGCGGCGGACGGGUGAGUAACACGUGGAUAACCUACCUAUAAGACUGGGAUAACUUCGGGAAACCGGAGCUAAUACCGGAUGAUAUUUUGAACCGCAUGGUUCAAAAGUGAAAGACGGUCUUGCUGUCACUUAUAGAUGGAUCCGCGCUGCAUUAGCUAGUUGGUAAGGUAACGGAUUACCAAGGCAACGAUGCAUAGCCGACCUGAGAGGGUGAUCGGCCACACUGGAACUGAGACACGGUCCAGACUCCUACGGGAGGCAGCAGUAGGGAAUCUUCCGCAAUGGGCGAAAGCCUGACGGAGCAACGCCGCGUGAGUGAUGAAGGUCUUCGGAUCGUAAAACUCUGUUAUUAGGGAAGAACAUAUGUGUAAGUAACUGUGCACAUCUUGACGGUACCUAAUCAGAAAGCCACGGCUAACUACGUG